UACGAAGGGGGCUAGCGUUGCUCGGAAUCACUGGGCGUAAAGGGUGCGUAGGCGGGUCUUUAAGUCAGGGGUGAAAUCCUGGAGCUCAACUCCAGAACUGCCUUUGAUACUGAGGAUCUUGAGUCCGGGAGAGGUGAGUGGAACUGCGAGUGUAGAGGUGAAAUUCGUAGAUAUUCGCAAGAACACCAGUGGCGAAGGCGGCUCACUGGCCCGGUCCUGACACUGAGGCGCGAAAGCUAGGGGAGCAAACGGG
rnacentral:rRNA from 1 species